GACGAACGCUGGCGGCGUGCUUAACACAUGCAAGUCGAACGGAAAGGCCCUGCUUUUGUGGGGUGCUCGAGUGGCGAACGGGUGAGUAACACGUGAGUAACCUGCCCUUGACUUUGGGAUAACUUCAGGAAACUGGGGCUAAUACCGGAUAGGAGCUCCUGCUGCAUGGUGGGGGUUGGAAAGUUUCGGCGGUUGGGGAUGGACUCGCGGCUUAUCAGCUUGUUGGUGGGGUAGUGGCUUACCAAGGCUUUGACGGGUAGCCGGCCUGAGAGGGUGACCGGGCACCAGGGGACUACGAUACGGCGCAGACGGCUACGGUAGGCAGCAGGGGGGAAUAUGGCACAGUGGGCGGAAGUGUGAGGCGGCAACGCCGGGUGCGUGAUGACGGCUUGCUGGUUGUGAACCGCUGUCGCCUGUGACGAAGCGGGAGUGACGGUAAUGGGUAAAGAAGCACCGGCUAACUACGUG
rnacentral:rRNA from 1 species